rnacentral:rRNA from 1 species
CCUACGGGUGGCUGCAGUGGGGAAUAUUGGGCAAUGGGCGCAAGCCUGACCCAGCAACGCCGCGUGAAGGAAGAAGGCUUUCGGGUUGUAAACUUCUUUUCUCAGGGACGAAGCAAGUGACGGUACCUGAGGAAUAAGCCACGGCUAACUACGUGCCAGCAGCCGCGGUAAUACGUAGGUGGCAAGCGUUAUCCGGAUUUACUGGGUGUAAAGGGCGUGUAGGCGGGACUGCAAGUCAGAUGUGAAAACCACGGGCUCAACCUGUGGCCUGCUUUUGGAACUGCGUGUCUUGAGUGAUGGAGAGGCAGGCGGAAUUCCCAGUGUAGCGGUGAAAUGCGUAGAUAUUGGGAGGAACACCAGUGGCGAAGGCGGCCUGCUGGACAUUAACUGACGCUGAGGCGCGAAAGCGUGGGGAGCAAACAGGAUUAGAUACCCGGGUAGUC